rnacentral:rRNA from 1 species
UACGUAGGGUCCGAGCGUUGUCCGGGAUUAUUGGGCGUAAAGGGCUCGUAGGCGGUCUGUUGCGUCGGGAGUGAAAACUUACAGCUUAACUGUGAGCGUGCUUCCGAUACGGGCAGACUUGAGGUAUUCAGGGGAGAACGGAAUUCCUGGUGUAGCGGUGAAAUGCGCAGAUAUCAGGAGGAACACCGGUGGCGAAGGCGGUUCUCUGGGAAUAUCCUGACGCUGAGGAGCGAAAGUGUGGGGAGCGAACAGG